CAGGAUGAACGCUAGCGGCAGGCCUAACACAUGCAAGUCGAGGGGUAACGAUGGAGCUUGCUCCAGGCGACGACCGGCGCACGGGUGAGUAACGCGUUUGCAACCUACCUCUAACUGGAAGAUAGCCCGAAGAAAUUCGGAUUAAUAUUCCAUAACACUAUGAUUUGGCAUCUUUUUAUAGUUAAAGUUUCGACGGUUAGAGAUGGGCAUGCGUGACAUUAGCUAGUUGGUGAGGUAACGGCUCACCAAGGCCACGAUGUCUAGGGGGUCUGAGAGGAUGGUCCCCCACACUGGUACUGAGACACGGACCAGACUCCUACGGGAGGCAGCAGUGAGGAAUAUUGGUCAAUGGGCGAAAGCCUGAACCAGCCAUGCCGCGUGAAGGAUGACGGCCCUACGGGUUGUAAACUUCCUUUGUUUGAGAAGAAACCUCCCUACGUGUAGGGGGCUGACGGUAUCGAACGAAUAAGCAUCGGCUAACUCCGUGCCAGCAGCCGCGGUAAUACGGAGGAUGCAAGCGUUAUCCGGAUUCAUUGGGUUUAAAGGGUACGCAGGCGGAAAACUAAGUCAGUGGUGAAAUCCUGCAGCUUAACUGUAGAACUGUCAUUGAUGCUGGUUACUUGGAUUCAGUCGAGGUAGGCGGAAUGUGUAAUGUAGCG
rnacentral:rRNA from 1 species